rnacentral:lncRNA from 10 species
AGGAGAGGGAAUUACACAUCACCUGAUUUUGGAUGCAUGUGUGAGGUAUGCUACUGUACUCACAAGACAUCUGAAACUAUACCCAGAUCAUCUAGAAGUGAACAUGUUCCAGGUGAUGUCCCUAUGUAAACCAAGGGUUGGUUUUCAGUGGGUAGAAAAUGCCCUUCAAACACUGACCCUGUCAUAUUGCAGAUGCCUUCAGGUAAAAAGUCAAUUAACCACUGGUGGGCAAUAUCCAAAAUUGAUAGCAGAAACAGAAAAAUAAAAGACUACUCAGCAAAGACAAGUAGAGGUUCUGGAGGCUGGGAUGUCCAAGGUCAAGAUGCUGACAGAUUGAUUGUCCCUGGAAAGCCUGCUUCAUAGAUGACCAUCUUCUCCGUGUGUUCUCCCUGUGUUCUCAGGAGUGGGGUUACCUUUCUGGUGCCUCUUUUUCAUAAGGACACUAUUCCCGUUCCUGAGGGCUCCAUUCUCAUAACACAACAUCCAGAAGGUCCUACAUUCUAAUAUCAUCAUACUGCAGCUUGGGUCCUCAUAUGAGAGAUGUAUGGAGAAAAUACCUAAAUCUAUCUUAUAACCUGGAGCAGAGCCACCACAGCUUCAGAUAUGUAACAAUUAUGGUGUUUACUCUCUUGAAUAAUUUUAUUUUGCUUAUUCAGAAACCUCAGCAAAUAAAAAUCUUUUUGGAAGAUUGGCAUGGUGUGGAUGGAAGUGAAGAAAAAUGUUCCAGGUUGCUUGUGCAAGACUUUCAAAGUGAAAGCAAUUGAGAGACUGAUGCAUGGAAAUCACAGAUGAAGAUGAAAAUACCACCUUCAUGGCCAGUCAAGUGUUGAAGAAUGUGAUUUAGAUGCAGCCAACGGUACCUACAAUUACACUCCAACAAAAUGGAACUCACUUCAAACUAAGAGCCCAUUCCAUGGAGGAGAGGAGAAUGAGAAUGUAGAACAGUCAGACAAAGGUAGAGAAAGGAAGAAUCCCAGCCAAUUCUUGAAGCUUAGCUUUAAAUCCAGUUUGUUCCUAAACACUCAGGGUGGCUACUAAGUGACUAAUGUAGCAGAUACAAUGUGGAUACAGCUGAACAAAAGGAUGAUUCCCACCCCAGGAGGGAUGGAGCAGGAUGGUGCCAGGUUUCA